rnacentral:rRNA from 1 species
GUCCACGCCGUAAACGAUGGAUACUAGCUGUUGGGAGCAAUCUCAGUGGCUAAGCGAAAGUGAUAAGUAUCCCACCUGGGGAGUACGUUCGCAAGAAUGAAACUCAAAGGAAUUGACGGGGCCCGCACAAGCGGUGGAGCAUGUGGUUUAAUUCGAUGAUACGCGAGGAACCUUACCAAGGCUUAAAUGUAGAUUGACCGAUUUUGGAAACAGAUCUUUCGCAAGACAAUUUACAAGGUGCUGCAUGGUUGUCGU